rnacentral:rRNA from 1 species
GAAGAGCCCAAACCAACAAGCUUGCUUGUUGGGGUUGUAGGACACUCUAUACGGAGUUACAAAGGACGACAUUAGACGAAUCAUCUGGAAAGAUGAAUCAAAGAAGGUAAUAAUCCUGUAGUCGAAAAUGUUGUCUCUCUUGAGUGGAUCCUGAGUACGACGGAGCACGUGAAAUUCCGUCGGAAUCUGGGAGGACCAUCUCCUAAGGCUAAAUACUCUCUAGUGACCGAUAGUGAACCAGUACCGUGAGGGAAAGGUGAAAAGCACCCCGGAAGGGGAGUGAAAUAGAACCUGAAACCGUGUGCUUACAAGUAGUCAGAGCCCGUUAAUGGGUGAUGGCGUGCCUUUUGUAGAAUGAACCGGCGAGUUACGAUUUGAUGCAAGGUUAAGCAGUAAAUGUGGAGCCGUAGCGAAAGCGAGUCUGAAUAGGGCGUUUAGUAUUUGGUCGUAGACCCGAAACCAGGUGAUCUACCCUUGGUCAGGUUGAAGUUCAGGUAACACUGAAUGGAGGACCGAACCGACUUACGUUGAAAAGUGAGCGGAUGAACUGAGGGUAGCGGAGAAAUUCCAAUCGAACCUGGAGAUAGCUGGUUCUCUCCGAAAUAGCUUUAGGGCUAGCCUCAAGUGAUGAUUAUUGGAGGUAGAGCACUGUUUGGACGAGGGGCCCCUCUCGGGUUACCGAAUUCAGACAAACUCCGAAUGCCAAUUAAUUUAACUUGGGAGUCAGAACAUGGGUGAUAAGGUCCGUGUUCGAAAGGGAAACAGCCCAGACCACCAGCUAAGGUCCCAAAAUAUAUGUUAAGUGGAAAAGGAUGUGGCGUUGCCCAGACAACUAGGAUGUUGGCUUAGAAGCAGCCAUCAUUUAAAGAGUGCGUAAUAGCUCACUAGUCGAGUGACACUGCGCCGAAAAUGUACCGGGGCUAAACAUAUUACCGAAGCUGUGGAUUGUCCUUUGGACAAUGGUAGGAGAGCGUUCUAAGGGCGUUGAAGCAUGAUCGUAAGGACAUGUGGAGCGCUUAGAAGUGAGAAUGCCGGUGUGAGUAGCGAAAGACGGGUGAGAAUCCCGUCCACCGAUUGACUAAGGUUUCCAGAGGAAGGCUCGUCCGCUCUGGGUUAGUCGGGUCCUAAGCUGAGGCCGACAGGCGUAGGCGAUGGAUAACAGGUUGAUAUUCCUGUACCACCUAUAAUCGUUUUAAUCGAUGGGGGGACGCAGUAGGAUAGGCGAAGCGUGCGAUUGGAUUGCACGUCUAAGCAGUAAGGCUGAGUAUUAGGCAAAUCCGGUACUCGUUAAGGCUGAGC